UUUCAGUUUGUAAACACGCGUACACGUGAAGCAACAAAGGCCUAUAAUAUAAUUAACAUGGGGGCAAAGGACAUUGUAAAGGCAGUAUGGUCAAACCCAUUUGUAUGGAAGGCAGCAAAGAGCUGGGGUGUAUUUAUUGUUGUAGUCCUGGUUGCCAGGGAGAUGUCCGCUGCUGAUGCUGCUAAUGUUGCAGAAAUAACAGGAAAUAUUGCUAAAACCAGCUGAUCAGAAAUGAUGAAAAUGUCCCUAGAGUGAGAGAGAGAAUGCCAAUGCUUUAAACAGAUGGAGUUUAAAAAGUGUGACAUUAUACGUAGAAUAUGACACCUUUUUUAAUAUAUAUAUAAAGCAUUUUGGUAAUUUUUUUUAAAAAGGAGUGUGUCUCCAUUUAUGUUUUGUACAAAAUAAAAUAUACCUCAUUUAAGAUAA